AUCAGGAUAUCUCAGCUGACAGAGCAUGAGACUCUUGAUCUCAGGGUUGUGGGUUCAAGCCCCAUGUUGGGUGAAA